rnacentral:rRNA from 1 species
UACAGAGGUCUCAAGCGUUGUUCGGAUUCAUUGGGCGUAAAGGGUGCGUAGGUGGCGCGCUAAGUCAGGUGUGAAAUUUCGGAGCUUAACUCCGAAACUGCAUUUGAUACUGGCGUGCUUGAGGACUGGAGAGGAGACUGGAAUUCACGGUGUAGCAGUGAAAUGCGUAGAGAUCGUGAGGAAGACCAGUGGCGAAGGCGGGUCUCUGGACAGUUCCUGACACUGAGGCAGCGAAGGCCAGGGGAGCAAAACGGGG